rnacentral:rRNA from 1 species
UUUGAUCCUGGCUCAGAACGAACGCUGGCGGCAGGCUUAACACAUGCAAGUCGAGCGCCCCGCAAGGGGAGCGGCAGACGGGUGAGUAACGCGUGGGAAUCUACCCUUGACUACGGAAUAACGCAGGGAAACUUGUGCUAAUACCGUAUGUGUCCUUCGGGAGAAAGAUUUAUCGGUCAAGGAUGAGCCCGCGUUGGAUUAGCUAGUUGGUGGGGUAAAGGCCUACCAAGGCGACGAUCCAUAGCUGGUYUGAGAGGAUGAUCAGCCACAUUGGGACUGAGACACGGCCCAAACUCCUACGGGAGGCAGCAGUGGGGAAUAUUGGACAAUGGGCGCAAGCCUGAUCCAGCCAUGCCGCGUGAGUGAUGAAGGCCCUAGGGUUGUAAAGCUCUUUCACCGGAGAAGAUA